rnacentral:lncRNA from 10 species
UGUGAGGGAGAUGGGAAGAGGCAGAGUAUUUUGUCUAAUUUCAAGUUCAAGAAAGCAAAGAACACAAAAGUUAAGUGGCUGGUGUCCAUUUACUCAAGUAAAUGUAUUCAGGAGUUGAGCCAGAAAUAAAGAUCAAGUCUUCUGGCCCAUGCACUAGGCCCCAUGCUGCCUCACAGCUUUCAAAACCUUCAUUUUCUUGGGAAAUGCUAAAAAGCUUUCCCCUACCAUACAUACUAGAUUCAGACACACUGCCAUCUACUGACCCACCAAAGGAUGUGCCAGCACAAGACAUCCUGACCUUCAAGGGAGGGAGGAACACCUUGAGAGGAGUUGAGAUCCUGCUUUCUCUUCAGAAUGCCAUCUCUAGGAUGCCAAUGGGCUGUGUCUACAGUACUAUGUAGGAAAGUGCUGCAAGAGAAAUCAUAAACACCUCUAAAACACAUGUAUACUGGUGGUGUUAGUCAACUUAUAUCACUGUCUGUGAAGACGAUGCAGCAAAUUCAAUGAAAGUUGUAUACAUCAUGGAAAAGUUUGAAUUGCAUGAAGAAAAGAAGCUGACGGAAGUUCUUUCUGUCACCUCUCUGAAGACCUGGUUCAUAUCUGCAGCUGCAACUCUAUCCCUGAACUCAUCUUUGAAACUACCCAGAGAUAGACUGUCAAGAGCUUCAGAGCUUUACAACAGGAUCUUCCAAGUGCCCUGAGAGGUCAUGAUGGAGCCAAUAGAAAUAAAUCAUACAAAACAAAGCCAGAACCUGGUGGGAGGGAUGCUUACAAAACAACAUAAACGAGAAGUUGUCUGAAAAAAAAUUGUAUGGAAGGAAGAAGAGAUGAGAUAAGGGAAAUGAACUCAUAAUAGCCCCAGUUAAAAUACUUACAGUAAAAUAUCAUUAGUACUACUUGAUGUUGGUGAAAGGCUCUAGACUCAAGUCAGAAGGCCCAAUUUGUUGCUGUGAUUUCUUGAACAAAUUAUGUAAUUGUGUUGAGAUUCAGUUUUCUUUUCUAUCAUUGGGUAUUAAUAACUUCUAUGUGAUGUCAGAGUUAUGAUGUGAAGUUAAAAUAACUAAUAAAUGGGUAAACCCUGAAAAUUUGAUAGAAUUUUGUGAAUGAGAGAAUCUUACAAAUACAGUACCUGAAACCAAAAGAAUUAAGUCUCAGCUUGAGGAAUAUCAGAUACUAGGGCAGGCUAAUGGGAUAAAGGUCUCAUUGAUCUGCCACCUUCAGUCACACUGAAAUGGGGCUAUAUUUUUUUUAUUUACUUACCUACCAGUACUGCCAAUAGUCAAAAUAGUACUACUUUCCAAGUUAUUUAACUUUUUUAGUAUAACAGAAAAAAAAAUCAUUUCUAGUUUUCAAGGCAUGGAUUCAAUGAGUAAUAUAGAUUUAUAUCACUUGGUGAAGACAUGGCAAUUUCCCUGAUACCACUGAAAAAUAAAUUUAAAAAUGCUAUUUGAUACCUUCUUUAAAAGCUUUUUUUGUUUGUUUCUUUGCUGAAAUGGCAAGGAUUGAAGAUAAUUGGAUUUACAAAACAACAUAGCAAGAGCUCCCAAUUUCAGUAUUGUGACAGGUCCAUUGAUAAAACCUGCUCAGGCAGAGACCAAGUUGGAAGGAAGGAUAGGUUAUUAUUUUAGUUCUCCUGAGGUAAAAUAAAUAUUCUUAAAAACGUGCAUCCAUCCAUCCUCUUUUAAGUAGAGAGGUCAUCAGUCUCUUUCCUUAUUAAAAUGAGCACAAACUGAACAUGCAUAGAUUGAUUCUCUCUAUUCAGUUGCAGUUUGAAACUUAGCCUGCUACACAUUUUAACAGAAUUUUCUACACAUUUUAACAGACACACACUUUCUACACAUUUUUAACAGAAGCAUUUUAACAGACAUUUCUCAAUGUGGCUCUCUGACUUUAUGACAUCAGAGGAAGCAGUCUUCAACCUGGUAAAAAACGUAAAGAAAAUGCAAUGUCUACUUAUAAACUUAACAAGAAUAUCAAUGACAACUAUUUUACCAAUGAAUUUAAAGAUUUGGAGAUUUCACAUAAUAGCCAGUAGCUCUUUGACAUAAAUAUAAAGCUAUAUAAUCCACAAUUCCAUUCUUUGCUUAUUUUAUGUUUUUCUGAAGUAGUUAUUGAGCACCUAUUGUGUGUAAAGAGCUGGAAUGGACAUAAGAAUACAGAAUGGCAAUAGGUUCAAAGAAUGCCAAGUACAGGAAGAGGAAAGAUGCUGAGUUCUUGUCUGGAUUUGACUUUAAUUAGUUUUAUGACCUUGGUUAAGUCACUUCUCCCAUGUAAAUCAUUGAACACUUUUUUAUUGAGGGCUUCCCAUAGGUAGAAACAAGAAUGACUGAGGAACAAAUAAACCCGGCCUCAGCCUUUGUGGAACUGACAUGGUAGUGGGUAAGAUAAAUAUUAAAGAAUUAAACACAUAAACAAAUAUAAGUAAAGAUUAUAUAAAGUGUAACCAAAAGUAAAUAAUGUUAAAGAAUUUUUAAACAUUGAGCUUCUGAUUCAAUCGGCCAGUCAUGGAAUACUUAUCCGAGGAAGCAAAAUUUAGACUGAUACUUGAAGGAAGAAAGAUUGCUGGGUGUAAAUAACAAACGUGGAAGCGUAACAGAUCUGAGGAAGUUCAGGCCAGUGUGGUUGAAACGCAGAGACCAAACGGAAGAAGGCAAAGGAUGAGACUUACUAACCAGACACUGCCCAAAUCCUGCAAGGCCUUACAGACAUGGUAAGAAGUUUUGAAUACAUCCUAAGUCAAAUGAAAAAUCACCAACAGAUAUUAAACAGCUGCAUGACAUGAUCAGAUUUGCAUUUUUAAAGAUUACUCCGGCUGUGGUGUAAAUAGUGGAUUGAGAGUAAGAUGCAGCCAUUCGAAGUGGCAGACUAGUUACACACACUGAAAUGUAAUAAUGCUGCAAAAAACAUAAUACUGAAUGAAAAAGGAAAAGACAGAAUGUGUUCCAAAGCACAAUACCUUUAUAUAAUGAUAGCUUGAUGAAAACACAUACAAAUAAAAGAUUAUAUAUUAAACCUCUUAAAAUGGUUGCUCUUGAAAGGCUAAAUAGGGAUAGCAAUGGGGGUAAAAAAAAAUAACUCAAUAAAACAAGAGAGGGCUAAUAAAUGGACCAGCAACAAUAGUAGGUUAUACGCUAAUGAGCAUGAUAAAUUCUUAAGGGCCCUAGUAUUUUUAGAAUGGUAAAUGAGCAUGGCUUCAACUUAAUGUCACCAGGUGCUUAGCCUGUAAAAAGAGAGUCAGGCUAUCUUUAGAAGUUUUGAAGCCAGACAUUGGCUUCUCCUCUCUAGCUAUGAAAUUCCUAGACUGCAUCUGCUUCCAAGAGAAGGCUGUUUCAUCUACAUUGAAAAUCUGUUCUUGGAUGUAGUCACCUUCAUCAAUUAUCUUAGAUAAUCUUCUGGAUAAUUUGCUGCAGCUUCUACAUCAGCACUGGUCACUUUACCUUGUCCUUUAAGGUUAUGGAAAUGGAUUUUUUUUUUUCCUAAAACCUCAUAAACCAACCUCAGCUAGAUUCACACAUUUCUUCUGCAGUUUUCCCACCACUCUUAGCCUUCACGGAAUUGAAGAGAGUUAGGGCCUUGCUCUGGAUUAGGUUUUGGUUUAAGGGAAUGUGUUGGCUGUUUUAAUCUUCUAUCCAAACCACUAAAAGUGUUUCUGUAUCAACAAUAAGGCUGUUUCCCCCUUUUAAUCAUCAUGUGUUCACUGGAGUACCACUUUUAAUUUCAUUCAAGAGCUUUUCCUUUGCAUUUACAACUUGACUAACUGGCACAAAAUUCUAGCUUUCAGGCUGUCUCAGGUUUCAACAUAACUUCCUUGUUAAGCUUAAUCAUUUCUAGCUUUUGAUUAAAGUGGGAGACGUGCAACUUUUCCUUUCACUUGAACACUUAGUGGCCAUUAUAGGGUUGUUACUUAAACUAAUUUCAAUACUGUUGUGUCUUGGACAAUAGGAAGGCCUGAGAAGAGGGAGUGGGAUGUGGGAAUAGCCAGUCAGUGGAGAAGUCAGAACAGAUACAACAUUUAUCAAUUAAGCUUAUCAUCUUAUAAGGGCACAAUCUGUGGUGCCCCAAAACAAUUAUAAUAGUAAUGAGAGGUGACAACGUGCUAGCAGCCCUUGCUCACUCUCAGCACCUCUUGGACCUCGGCAUCCACUCGGGCCACACUUGAGGAGCCCUUCAGCCCACUGCUGCACUGUGGGAGCCCCUGUCUGGGCUGGGUGAGGCCGGACCCGGCUCCCUCUGCUUGCGGGGAGGUGUGGAGGGAGAGGUGCGGGCGGGAACCCAGGCUGCACGCGGUGCUCGCGGGCCAGUGCGAGCUCCGGGUGGGUGUGGGCUCGGCAGGCCCCGUACUUGCGCAGCUGGCCCCAGGCAGUGAGGGGCUUAGCACCCGGUCUAGCAGCUGCAGAGGGUGCGCCAGGCUACCCCAGCACUGCUGGCCCGCCGGCGCCGCACUUGAAUUCUCGCUGGGCCCCAGCCACCUCCCCAUGGGGAAGGGCUCGGGACCUGCAGCCCACCAUGCCCAAGCCCCCCUGUGGUAGGAUCCCACAUGGCCUGAGCCUCCCCGGCGGGCGCUGCCCCCUGCUCCACAGCGCCCAGUCCCAUCAACCACCCAAGGGCUGAGGAUCGCGGGCGCGCAGCACGGGACUGGCGGGCAGCUCUGCCCGCGGCCCUAGAACGGGAUCCACUAGGCGAAGCCAGCUGGACUCCUGAGUCGGGUGGGGUCUUGGAGAACUUUUAUGUCUAGCUGGAGGAUUGUAUAUGCAUCAAUCAGCACUCUGUGUCUAGCUUGGGGUUUGUGGAUGCACCAAUCAGCACUCUGUAUCUAGCUAAUCUGGUGGGGACUUGGAGAACUUUUAUGUCUAGCUAGAGGAUUGUAAAUGCACCAAUCAGCACUCUGUGUCUAGCUAAAGGUUUGUAAACGCACCAAUCAGUACUCUGUGUCUACCUAAUCUAGUAUGGACUUGGAGAACUUUUAAGUCUAGCUAGAGGAUUAUAAAUGCACCAAUCAGCACUCUGUGUCUAGCUAAAGGUUUCUAAAUGCACCAAUCAGUGCUCUGUGUCUAGCUAAUCUAGUGAGGACUUGGAGAACUUUAAUGUCUAGCUAGAGGAUUAUAAAUGCACCAAUCAGCACUCUGUGUCUAGCUAAAGGUUUGUAAAUGCACCAAUCAGUGCUCUAUGUCUAGCUAAUCUAGUGGGGACUUGGAGAACUUUUUUUUUUUUUUUUUUUUGAGACGGAGUCUCACUCUGUCACCC